UACGGAGGGUGCAAGCGUUAUCCGGAUUCACUGGGCUUAAAGGGCGCGUAGGCGGGUGCUCAAGUCCGGGGUGAAAUCCCACAGCUCAACUGUGGAACUGCCUCGGAUACUGGGAGUCUCGAGGGUGGCAGGGGUAUGCGGAACUAUCGGUGGAGCGGUGAAAUGCGUUGAUAUCGAUAGGAACUCCGGUGGCGAAGGCGGCAUACUGGUCCACUUCUGACGCUGAGGCGCGAAAGCCAGGGGAGCAAACGGG
rnacentral:rRNA from 1 species